GAUCAUGGCUCAGGAUGAACGCUAGCUACAGGCUUAACACAUGCAAGUCGAGGGGCAGCAUGGUCUUAGCUUGCUAAGGCCGAUGGCGACCGGCGCACGGGUGAGUAACGCGUAUCCAACCUGCCUUACACUCUUGGACAGCCUUCUGAAAGGAAGAUUAAUACAAGAUGUUAUCAUGAGUAAGCAUUUUCGCAUGAUUAAAGAUUUAUCGGUGAUGGAUGGGGA
rnacentral:rRNA from 1 species